GGUAGGGUAGAGCUUUUUUUCUCUGUGGAGGAAGGCACCAAGCUUGGUUGGAGUUGGUCUCUGGCUGCAGCUGUUGGUCCAGGAGAUUUUCUCAGCCCUACAUUUGUUGCUGCAUGAAUGUGGAGGAAGAGGAGAAAUCCAGAGCUAUACAUCUCAGAACACCCCAAAGUGCGCCAUGUGCAGCGGAGGUGGACAGAAGGGCUGGUCCUAUCUGCCCAAAAUGCAGCCAAGUGAGAAGGAGGCUCAGAGGACAACCAGGGUCCUGCUUCAUCCUCAUCACCCAGUUUGCUUAGGGCCAUGAAGGUCCCAUGCUGCCAUCCCAGCUGAGACAUGGCGGAGAUGAUGAAGAAUGGGUUGGGUCAAGAUGACAAGGACCACAUUGGUAGUUAAGGUGGUGCACUUACUGGGAUGAGGUUUUGGAUCUAACACAAAUGGCCAAGAGGGAUUUCAGAGAUGAACAGUGGUAAUCCACCCAGGGUGGUGACUUGCUGAAGUUGCUUGACAUGUGGCACAUCCCUCACACCAACAGAUCCACCUUGGGCUUCACCAAGGAGAGCUCACUCACCCAGCAUGGCAGCCUCAAAUUAUAGAUAAUAAUAAUAAUCUGUCUUUAAUUUCCUCUCUCUCCUCUUGGUGAUGAAUGGCUCGCAGCGAGGAGAAGCAGCUGUUGACGGGGAGCAGGGUGGCUUCUCUGGGGUUUACUGUUUUAAUCAUGGCCUGAGUGAAAGUGACAGCCUGAAGAUGGAAUAUCUGCUGAAAGGAAAUCAUAACUCUGGGUGACUCCACUUAGCUCUGUGACAGGGGAGGGUGUAUUUUUGUUGGACACAGUGGAUUGUGAUCUCAGUGGAGCUUUUGCUGGAGCCCUCCUCCUGCCUUAGGGCUGUUGGGUUUGUGGCAUCCCCAGCGCUGCAUGGGAGCUCUUAGACCUACCUGGAGCCUUGCGUUGAAGCUGACCUGUUGGCCUCUGCAGGUCUGGUUUCUGGGGAGAUCUGAAGAUGAGAAACCACAGUGCUGAAUGGGGCUUUGUAACCCCAAAGGAGACAAAGUGGACAAGGCAGUGAGCAUGUGGUCUGCUCAUCAGGAAAGAGAAGGACCAUCCCAUUGAGGAUGAAGGCUGCCAAAAGAGGGGGAAAGGCUGUUAAGCUGUAAAUGAAUUAGCAGCAGGAAUCCAACCUACAAGGGGCACGGCCACUCCACCAGAUAUCUGGCACACGGGAACUCUGCACGCCCCAUUGCCUGGCCCCAAUGGGUUAAAUGGUGCACGUGGCUGCAAAGUGUUUGAGCUGGCGCAUCUCUGAGCACCAUAAACAUGGGGGAGAACAGUUUCUAAAAUAGCAUCUUUCAUGUUCCCAAAAAAAUGUUCUCAUGUGCUCUGCUGGCUGAAACCACUGUUACGAAACAAAAUGCUUCCCAUCAGCAGUCAUUAGGGCUUGAGCCUGGGCUGGGGUGCUGCUUGAUACAGUGAGAGCAGUUAACGAGAGCAGAACAAGACCAGAACAGAAAAGUCAGCAAAGUUGCUAUUUUCCUAAUUAAAAAAACACAUCCUAAACCGCUAAUGGUGCCAGAACACUCACACUCCUUCUGUUGGAUAGGAGCCCUGGCAACGCCUUCAUGCAGAGCUCAACCUCCAGCCCCCGCGUGACACAGAGGGGACAAUCACAGAUGUCCCCAUGCAGCCAUGUGUGUCCCCACCUGCACAGCUCCAUGGGCUGCAUGCCUGAGGAUGGCUCAUUCUGCAGAUUUCUCUCUUCGAGGGCGGCGUUGCUCCAUGCAUGUAAGUUGAUUUCAUCACAUGUGUUGAGUUUAUUGAAGCAAACAGGGAGAAGCGUGGGCUGUACAGGAGCAGGAAGGUGCCUGUGCCCAAAAACAUUCGGGAAAUGUGCGUUGCAUGUGCCAUACACAUGCAACUGAUAUUCGUUUGCACUGAACUAAUGCACGCAGCUAUAUUCUUGAGCUACAGCUGUAGGUGUAGGGGCUGGAAGGGACCUCUGGAGACCACCAAGCCCCUGCUAAAGCAGGUUCCCUACAGUAGAUUGAGCAGGAAAACAUCCAGGUUUUGAGUAUCUCCAGUCAGGACAGCAGUGGUGGGUCCAGGCUCUGCUCCCCCAUCCAGCCACCACACACGCCAUGUUUUCCACUGAACAUGAACAGGUAACACAGAUCCUCCAGGGGCAGCAAAAAUGAUGAAGAAAAAGAAAGAGAAGGGCAGGGAGAAGAGUUAGGUGCUGGGGGGAGCUGAGGAAGGGUCUGCAAUGCUUUGGGACUGAGACAAGCCCUUGCGUCCCUCUGCCCAGCUACUACUGUGGGGCUCCUGUCCCUAGUAUUGUUUGUUGGGGAAGGAUGGGUUUGCACAGUGUGACUGGAAAGCUGCCUCUCCAGCACCCUUCUUGCUGUUGUUCACCUCUCCUCCUUUCCCAAAAAAGGGAUCGGAGGGAGUUGUUUAAAGAAAAUAAAGCCCGACUCACUCAUUGUUUGUCCUGGCCAAACGCUACCUUGCGUAACCAAAUCUGAAAUCUGAUGACCCCCUCCAGAACUUUUAUGCACCCAAACGUCACUGUUUCAGCAAAUUCUACCAUUUGUGGUUUAUUUGACACCGAGUGACUCUGCUCGUGUUUGUUUUUCCUGGGAUGCCUUCAAGGUACGAGUCAUUAAACAACCACUGCUUGAAGGUGCCGGCACGCUGGCCAUGUCCCGUUAUGGGUGAGUAAUGAGGAAAUGAGCACUUGCUGAUUAACAGCGAUUCCCACAUUAACGAUGAACACGAUGGAGAAGGAGCCAGGAUUUGUAGCUCAGCAUGCCGAUUUAGUGAUGUGGGGACCUUUGGCUCCUUCCAGUGCCAGAGCAUGCUCAGAGCCAUCAAUCAAAAACCAGCCAUCAGCUCCAGCUAUUUUUUGGCCAUGCCUGUAGAUGUUCAAGGUGCUGAUGUACCUGCUUGAAGCAUGAAGCUGUUGUGGCCCUCGCUUGCAUCACAGGGAUAUUUCCUCUGAGUGGCAGCUCUGUUGGGCUCUUCCCAUGGAGAACAAGAGAAGGAGAUGGGCAUCACCUCCCUCCUCAGGCUGCGUUGUGAUGGAUCGUCAUCAAAGAGAUAGAGGAAGGGAACCAUGCUGCAAAUGCUUUCUGUCACCAGGCAGCUCCCUUAGACUUUGUUUCACUUUCUUACUAGAAAGCAUUAGCAGGGCAAUACAUGCAGUGGGUGCCAGGACACGGUGUCCCCAGGGACUGGCCCUCCAGCAGUGAGACCCCAUGCUCAGUGUCUCACAGGUGGCUCUUCUUGAAACUCUACCUCUGAUGGCCGUGUAAAUCUCUCAGAUCUCUGAUGGGACAUAAAUCUCCCCCAAACCGCAAUGCUUACCAAACAUUAUCACGGGAUUGAGACAUAAAUCCUGUGUCAGCCUGGCGAAACAUCUGUGGCUAUCAAGUUAACCAAGUCAAGACAGCUCCUUAACUAUUCCCAAACAUCAGCUUAUGAAGACGCAGACAAGGAGCAGCCCAUCUGAAAUGCUUUUGGAGCAGCCGUUCAUCGCAUUUGUACAAGUCAUAAACAGGUUCCAUGGCUUCUGUCUCUGCCUUGAGCUUCAGGGAACAGCAAUGUGCAGGAGUCUCAGGCUUUGCUUUUUCUUACGUUGAAGGAUAUUCUUUGUUCCCUGAAGUGUAGGUGAGGCCGUGAUUGUGCUCCAUCCCUUGGAGCCUCCAUCGUGCGCGGCAGCAUCUCAGGGCUGGUGGUGCCUGAGCUGAGCCUCUGUGCAACUGCCCAGGGAGAUCUCCCAGCAGGAGAAUGAAUCAGCC
ensembl:lncRNA